rnacentral:rRNA from 1 species
GGUUAAGCGACUAAGCGUACACGGUGGAUGCCCUGGCAGUCAGAGGCGAUGAAGGACGUGCUAAUCUGCGAUAAGCGUCGGUAAGGUGAUAUGAACCGUUAUAACCGGCGAUUUCCGAAUGGGGAAACCCAGUGUGAUUCGUCACACUAUCAUUAACUGAAUCCAUAGGUUAAUGAGGCGAACCGGGGGAACUGAAACAUCUAAGUACCCCGAGGAAAAGAAAUCAACCGAGAUUCCCCCCCAGUAGCGGCGAGCGAACGGGGAGCAGCCCAGAGCCUGAAUCAGUGUGUGUGUUAGUGGAAGCGUCUGGAAAGGCGCGCGAUACAGGGUGACAGCCCCGUACACAAAAAUGCACAUGCUGUGAGCUCGAUGAGUAGGGCGGGACACGUGGUAUCCUGUCUGAAUAUGGGGGGACCAUCCUCCAAGGCUAAAUACUCCUGACUGACCGAUAGUGAACCAGUACCGUGAGGGAAAGGCGAAAAGAACCCCGGCGAGGGGAGUGAAAAAGAACCUGAAACCGUGUACGUACAAGCAGUGGGAGCACGCUUAGGCGUGUGACUGCGUACCUUUUGUAUAAUGGGUCAGCGACUUAUAUUCUGUAGCAAGGUUAACCGAAUAGGGGAGCCGAAGGGAAACCGAGUCUUAACUGGGCGUUAAGUUGCAGGGUAUAGACCCGAAACCCGGUGAUCUAGCCAUGGGCAGGUUGAAGGUUGGGUAACACUAACUGGAGGACCGAACCGACUAAUGUUGAAAAAUUAGCGGAUGACUUGUGGCUGGGGGUGAAAGGCCAAUCAAACCGGGAGAUAGCUGGUUCUCCCCGAAAGCUAUUUAGGUAGCGCCUCGUGAAUUCAUCUCCGGGGGUAGAGCACUGUUUCGGCAAGGGGGUCAUCCCGACUUACCAACCCGAUGCAAACUGCGAAUACCGGAGAAUGUUAUCACGGGAGACACACGGCGGGUGCUAACGUCCGUCGUGAAGAGGGAAACAACCCAGACCGCCAGCUAAGGUCCCAAAGUCAUGGUUAAGUGGGAAACGAUGUGGGAAGGCCCAGACAGCCAGGAUGUUGGCUUAGAAGCAGCCAUCAUUUAAAGAAAGCGUAAUAGCUCACUGGUCGAGUCGGCCUGCGCGGAAGAUGUAACGGGGCUAAACCAUGCACCGAAGCUGCGGCAGCGACGCUUAUGCGUUGUUGGGUAGGGGAGCGUUCUGUAAGCCUGUGAAGGUGUGCUGUGAGGCAUGCUGGAGGUAUCAGAAGUGCGAAUGCUGACAUAAGUAACGAUAAAGCGGGUGAAAAAGCCCGCUCGCCGGAAGACCAAGGGUUCCUGUCCAACGUUAAUCGGGGCAGGGUGAGUCGACCCCUAAGGCGAGGCCGAAAGGCGUAGUCGAUGGGAAACAGGUUAAUAUUCCUGUACUUGGUGUUACUGCGAAGGGGGGACGGAGAAGGCUAUGUUGUCCGGGCGACGGUUGUCCCGGUUUAAGCGUGUAGGCUGGUUUUCCAGGCAAAUCCGGAAAAUCAAGGCUGAGGCGUGAUGACGAGGCACUACGGUGCUGAAGCAACAAAUGCCCUGCUUCCAGGAAAAGCCUCUAAGCAUCAGGUAACAUCAAAUCGUACCCCAAACCGACACAGGUGGUCAGGUAGAGAAUACCAAGGCGCUUGAGAGAACUCGGGUGAAGGAACUAGGCAAAAAUGGUGCCGUAACUUCGGGAGAAGGCACGCUGAUAUGUAGGUGAAGUCCCUCGCGGAUGGAGCUGAAAUCAGUCGAAGAUACCAGCUGGCUGCAACUGUUUAUUAAAAACACAGCACUGUGCAAACACGAAAGUGGACGUAUACGGUGUGACGCCUGCCCGGUGCCGGAAGGUUAAUUGAUGGGGUCAGCGCAAGCGAAGCUCUUGAUCGAAGCCCCGGUAAACGGCGGCCGUAACUAUAACGGUCCUAAGGUAGCGAAAUUCCUUGUCGGGUAAGUUCCGACCUGCACGAAUGGCGUAAUGAUGGCCAGGCUGUCUCCACCCGAGACUCAGUGAAAUUGAACUCGCUGUGAAGAUGCAGUGUACCCGCGGCAAGACGGAAAGACCCCGUGAACCUUUACUAUAGCUUGACACUGAACAUUGAGCCUUGAUGUGUAGGAUAGGUGGGAGGCUUAGAAGUGUGGACGCCAGUCUGCAUGGAGCCGACCUUGAAAUACCACCCUUUAAUGUUUGAUGUUCUAACGUUGACCCGUAAUCCGGGUUGCGGACAGUGUCUGGUGGGUAGUUUGACUGGGGCGGUCUCCUCCUAAAGAGUAACGGAGGAGCACGAAGGUUGGCUAAUCCUGGUCGGACAUCAGGAGGUUAGUGCAAUGGCAUAAGCCAGCUUGACUGCGAGCGUGACGGCGCGAGCAGGUGCGAAAAGCAGGUCAUAGUGAUCCGGUGGUUCUGAAUGGAAGGGCCAUCGCUCAACGGAUAAAAAGGUACUCCGGGGAUAACAGGCUGAUACCGCCCAAGAGUUCAUAUCGACGGCGGUGUUUGGCACCUCGAUGUCGGCUCAUCACAUCCUGGGGCUGAAGUAGGUCCCAAGGGUAUGGCUGUUCGCCAUUUAAAGUGGUACGCGAGCUGGGUUUAGAACGUCGUGAGACAGUUCGGUCCCUAUCUGCCGUGGGCGCUGGAGAACUGAGGGGGGCUGCUCCUAGUACGAGAGGACCGGAGUGGACGCAUCACUGGUGUUCGGGUUGUCAUGCCAAUGGCACUGCCCGGUAGCUAAAUGCGGAAGAGAUAAGUGCUGAAAGCAUCUAAGCACGAAACUUGCCCCGAGAUGAGUUCUCCCUGACUCCUUGAGAGUCCUGAAGGAACGUUGAAGACGACGACGUUGAUAGGCCGGGUGUGUAAGCGCAGCGAUGCGUUGAGCUAACCGGUACUAAUGAACCGUGAGGCUUAACCUU